rnacentral:tRNA from 1 species
GCGGGGAUAACUCAGUUGGGAGAGCGUCAGACUGAAGAUCUGAAGGUCGCCUCACCGCA